UACGUAGGGUCCGAGCGUUGUCCGGAAUUACUGGGCGUAAAGCGCGCGCAGGCGGCCCGCGAGGUGUCACGUGAAAGCCCGGGGCUCAACCCCGGGAGGCGGGCGGAUACUGUCGGGCUAGAGUCCGGAAGAGGCGAGUGGAAUUCCUGGUGUAGCGGUGAAAUGCGCAGAUAUCAGGAGGAACACCAAUGGCGAAGGCAGCUCGCUGGGACGGUACUGACGCUGAGACGCGAAAGCGUGGGGAGCAAACAGG
rnacentral:rRNA from 1 species